rnacentral:lncRNA from 1 species
UUAAUAACUAAGAGAGCAUUAUAGUGGCAGGAGCAUGCUAGUUAACACACCACAAACCUAUAUUUUCCCGCAAACAACGUUCAUAUAUAUAAAUUUCACAAAUUUAUAAAUAUUUUAACUUCUACGCUUCAAUAUAAACCAAGUAACAAUCCUAUAGCCAUAAAAGAAGAAACAAAAUCAUAUGGACAAGAUUCCCAAAUUUUAUGCAAUAAUA